AUAAAUAAAUCCAACUUGUAAAACAAAACAUUGUGUGUGCAAUUUGAGUGAAGUCUUGGGCUCCAUUUUCAGAAAAAUGCUGCGUGCAUUCUGAGCUUGUAAGAAAAUGAGCAUAUUGGUAAAAUUGCUCCUUCAUCUUCCUCUAUGUGUGUCCACUUUUGUGUAUGAGGAAAACGUGGUGGGGAAAAAAGAUAACAGAAGGGAUUUCCCUUCCCCAAAAUCUUGUUCUCAUUUGUUUCUUCUGCUUGGUCUUCCCCAUUAAACGCAUCCAUAUCCUGCCAUUUUUACAGGCAUAGUAAACACAUGCUCCUCGUGAACCUCUGGAGACUGACCCUCUGUGUUAGGAAGGCAAGAUGUCCACCCUGCUACUGUCACCAGGAGAGCUGUGUAUGUUUCCAGCCAGGAGACUUUUAUUUUUGUCUUUUUAAGGAGGUCUUACAUAUAGAUUUUAGUUGGGGUGGGAAUAAUUUUGAUUUCAGGUUUUCUAUCAGAUAUUGAAAUCACAUGUUUAUUUUGUCUCUAUAGACAGGAGGAGAAUUGGAAGGACUGGGACAUCACAAGUGCCAAAGGACAAAGGCUGGAGCUUGAGUUUUUUUUUGCUGUUAACACCUAUUUAACAAACGUGCCUCACGGGGAAAUUCUUUCUGUUAACAAUUCAACUGUCUUUCCCCCAGGGAGUUCCCAGUAUCCCUUUAUUUCUUGGCAGAGUAAUUAGGCCAGUCAGAGCUGGGUGCUGCCAUGGCUACACUGCUUCAGGUUACACACUGGGAUUAGUGCGAUUUGCUUGUACAUGAUGUGCUCGUCAGGAGAUGUUAUGUGGUAGACCUCUGAGCAAAGCCUGACUGAUGCUGAAACAUGGAUUGGUCAGACUCUAGUCAUCCUUUGAUUCAUUGCCCAUAUAAAAACACUGGCAUAAAGAAAGUCUCCUUAACAUCCUGCUGUGAAAUAAAAGGCCUUUGGAGACCCUUGUGAGGCCAGGAAGUAACAAUCUGAGUCCUAGAGAAAAUAGGAAUGAGGAAAAUAUCUUAGCACACAGACCAUUGAUGGACAUUCCUCAGAGACCACAUCUGUCUCCUGUAAGGACAUGAGUAGAGGUGGAAGAGAUGUUGGAAGUCUAUAUAUCAAGAGAUAAUUUUAAAAUAUUCUCAGGAGGCAUCGGUGGUUGUGUAACAGAAGGAGACUUCCUCAACACAAACACAAGCAUAGAGAGGUAUGUUUUUUUCCUUUUUCCGCUUACUAUGCCAUGGAGAUUUUUAUUAUUAUUAUUUCAGUCAUUUUGUACACAGGAAUCCUCCUAGGGAAAAGCUUAAACUUCUUUCAACACAGUUCUGAAGACCAAAGAAAUCCCACUUUUUAAUCCCAAUUCACCCAUCAGCUCUCUAAAACAGCUCUUUGUGGUAUUGUUCUCCCAUUUUUUUAUUGUUCUUUGAAGACGGAUACACUGAGUGAUUAUGUGUGCGACUUCUGGGAAAGGAUCAAGACUCCCAUAAAAAUCCUGACACAGGCAACCAAGGGAAACAAAAUGCAGUAAAUAGGAGUUGUGGUGCGAGGGGGACAGAGCAGAGCUAGUAGCACUCCUGCAGGCUUUAUCCUAAACUAUGUCCCUAUGCAACUCUAAUACAAAACACCUCUACAUUUAUAGAUUUGUCACUGUAUGGCUUGUACAGUUACCAGUAUUUAUUACAAAGCAUAUUGAGUGACAACUAAUUUUACUGAUACAAACCUGUAUGUAUGCUGUGGUGGGUUGACCUUGGCUGGACCGGUUGCCCACCAAGCCACUUUAUCACUCUCCUCCUCAGCAGGAUGGGAAGGGUAGAAAAUAAGAUGGAAAAAAAUUAUGGGUCAAGAUAAAUGCAGUUUAAUAAAGCAAAAGCAAAGUUUGCACAUGGAAGCAAAGAAAAACAAGAGAUUCAUUCUCAACUUCCCAUCAGCAGGUGAUGUCUGGCCACUUCCUGGGAAGCAGAGCUUUAGUUUGUGUAGCGGUUGCUCUGAAAGACAAACUGUAGUAACAAACAUGUUUUCUCCCUUAGCUUUUAUUGCUGAGCAGACAUCAUAGCGUAUGGAAUAUCCCUUUGGUCAGUUGGGGUCGGCUGUCCUGGCUAUGUCCCCUCCCAAGAUCUUGUCCACCCCCAGCCUACUGGUGAGUGGGAUAUUGGAGAGACAGCCUUGAUGCUGUGGAGCACUGCUCAGCAGAAGCCAAACGCUGGUGUCUUAUCAACAUCUUUCUAGAUACCAAUACAAAGCGCAGCACUAUGAGGGCUGCUAGGGGGA